UUCGUAUUCAUCUGUUUGUUAGGGAUGGUAGAAGUUAGGGUUGUAUGUGAUUAUAAGACUGGUGGAAGGGAUACGUUUUUAAUGAUGGAUGAGUUCUGCAUUCUGAUUCAUGCAGUGGUUACAAAAAUGUAUACAUGUGAUAAAAUGUCAUGUAAAUGUGCACAUUUCACCAAUGACAAUGUGCUGGUUGUGAUAUUGUACAAUGUUAAUGGAAAAUAUCACCACUGGGGAAAAUUGAGUGGUAUGUGUAAACGGUACUAUAUUUGCAGCAUUUUGUGAGUCUUUAUUUUAACAUAAUAUGUAAAUAUGUAAAGCAACUAGAAGAAUGGUUUUAAUACAGGAGAGUAACAGCUUAUAAGCAAGAGAAAGAAAAAUGAUAAAUAAUGUGAACACUUACCAAAGGAAGGGUGGAACAGAGAAAUAAAG
rnacentral:lncRNA from 1 species